UACGGAGGAUCCGAGCGUUAUCCGGAUUUAUUGGGUUUAAAGGGUGCUCAGGCGGGGGAUUAAGUCGGCGGUGAAAUUUUGCGGCUCAACCGUAAAAGUGCCUUCGAAACUGGUUUCCUUGAGUGUGGAUGAGGUAGGCGGAAUUUGUGGUGUAGCGGUGAAAUGCAUAGAUAUCACGAGGAACUCCGAUUGCGCAGGCAGCUUACCAGGCCAUAACUGACGCUCAAGCACGAAGGCGUGGGGAUCAAACAGG
rnacentral:rRNA from 1 species